rnacentral:rRNA from 1 species
GAUGAACGCUAGCUACAGGCUUAACACAUGCAAGUCGAGGGGUAACGAGAGGAAAGCUUGCUUUCCUUGUCGACGACCGGCGCACGGGUGAGUAACGCGUAUCCAACCUGCCCCCAACUAAGGAAUAACCUUGCGAAAGUAAGACUAAUACCUUAUAAUUUCCUCAGAUGCCAUCUGACGAGGAAUAAAGAUUUAUCGGUUGUGGAUGGGGAUGCGUCUGAUUAGCUUGUUGGCGGGGUAACGGCCCACCAAGGCAACGAUCAGUAGGGGUUAUGAGAGGAAGGUCCCCCACAUUGGAACUGAGACACGGUCCAAACUCCUACGGGAGGCAGCAGUGAGGAAUAUUGGUCAAUGGGCGAAAGCCUGAAACAGCCAAGUAGUGUGCAGGAUGACGGCCCUAUGGGUUGUAAACUGCUUUUAUACAGGAAUAAAGUUAGCCACGUGUGGUUAUUUGUAGGUACUGUAUGAAUAAGGACCGGCUAAUUCCGUGCCAGCCGCCGCCGUAAAAC